GGGGGGCAGGGAAGCAGAGCCAUUGCCCUGGCAACGCCCACUUCGCAUUAGCCACUCUCGCGAGAGCCUCCGGGCUGCUCUGUUACCUCGGGAUUCCAUGGUGAAGCAACUGAUCGAAACCCACCUGUACCUCGCGGUCAGUUGCUGCGACUGUGGUCGGGACAGCUCUGAAGCAGCGAACCUCGUCGAUCGAGGGAAGAUGAUCCCCGAGAAAAUGUCUUAUUCAGAGUACGGCUGAGAAAGCCAGAAGUCUGCACAGAUUACAACCCAAAGCUGAAAUAAUUUUAGAGGUGCUCCAUGCAGAAGAUCUAUUGUAUUAACACUUAAUUCUAGACAUGACCAAGUUGUCACUUGGUCUUUUCUACUACUUUGACAACAUUAAAUUCUGCAAGUGAACUGCUGAAGAACAGAAAUGUUCUGUACAGGCUUUGUCUCACUUAGUGGAUGUAUUAGCACAUCUGACCCCUGGAUCCAAGUGGGCAUUCUGACCAUUUUUCUCUUCUCAUGCUUGAAGACUGAGUAGAUGGCGGCAGGACCCUUCCCCUAUUUUUUAUUCUGCA
ensembl:lncRNA